UCUUGCCAGUAUUAUAUACUUAUAUUAAAGAUUAAGCCAUGCAAGUGUUAGAUCGUAUUUUUUAACUUAUAAUCUGUUGAUGGCUCAAUACAAGAGUUAUUUACUCUUCGUUUGCCAACUCAGGUUAAGGAUAACGUAGCCAACAGCAGCGAUAAUACUUAUGUAAAAAGGGUGCAAAAACACCUUAAUGAUAGGGAAGAAAGAGUUGAUUCUAUCAAAACCAAACUAUUCUUAUUGAAGACGUCAAAAGCUUCGAUUUAGAAUGUUGGAUGUUGACCAACUUGUUACAAAGAGAUAUAGUUUCAUAUUUUAAUAGGUGUGAUACGUGUUUUUUUAAAGAUGGCCAAAUGUAUGUGUUUCUUAUCUAUCAGUUUCAGAUGUUUUAUUAAGGCUGAAACAUGGCUUCUACGGAUACGGAGAAUUAGAGUUUGAUACCGGAGAGGGCGCUUGAGGAUUGGCGACCACGUCUAAGGAUGGCAGCAGGCGCGAAAAUUGUCCAAUAUUGACAUAAUGAGACAGUAACGAUAAAUAACGACCUUUUGCAAUUGAGUGAAAGGGUAUCUUCGGAUUUGUAAUGGUUGUAUAUUAAAAUUCUACAAGAGUAACGAUUGGAGGAAAAGUCUGGUGCCAGCACCCGCGGUAAUUCCAGCUCCAAUAGCGUAUUCUAAAAUUGUUGCAGUUAAAACGCUCGUAGUUUAACUAAAAGUACGAAUAUGUAAGCGGUAAAUAAACAAUAUCCAAUUUUAAGGAAUAUCUCUUUUCAAGGGGAUUGUUGCUUUCGGGCAAAUGGUUUAUUAUCUUUAGUUUCCGCCAAACCAUAGUAACUGGCUUGCCAGUUAUGAGGCUGAGUGUAAACGCUUAUAUAACGCAGUGUUUGACAAUCCAACUGUGAGUAAAUCAAAGUGCUUAAAACAAGCUAACUGUUUACUAUAGUAAUAGUAUGAAUGGUUUAGCAUGGUAUUGGAUCCAUAUUUUAUAAAAUAUUAAAUGAGAACCAGGUAGAGGGUUUUUGCAUUGUAUUGUUAGAGGUGAAAUUCAGAGAUCAAUACAAGACUCACAAAUGCGAAGGCAGUUAUACCCAUAACAUUUCCAUCAAUCAGGAACGAAAGUUGGG
rnacentral:rRNA from 1 species